CAUGGUUAAAAUAAAUAAAUAAAAUAAUACAAACAAAAACAAUUGAGCAGUAAAAAAGGAAAUAAAUAAAUUAAAAACAAACAAAUGGGAUCCUCAGGAUCCUAAGCAACAAUUACAUAGCUCAAAUAACAUAGUUCAUGUUCAAAAGGGAUAGGAAGAAGUUAAAAAAAACUUUUAUGGUCCUACCCCCUCUUAUUUUUUAUAAUUGUUUACCAAAAAAUAAAUCUUCAAUAUGAAUCAGUCAGUGUCUAUGAUGUUUAGCUCGUGGAUCAAAAUAAAAAUGUUGAAACGGAGAACCGAGUGAAAAGACUACAACCAAACGUAAACAGCCCCCUUUUCCGUUACCAGCCAACAAGCAAAGAUUCUAUGAGGUAUUCUAGUCCGCUGAGCAGAGAGAUUGUAUGGAUUGUACAUAUUUAUAAUUUGAAAUUCGCCUCAGCCUUUAUACCACAGAUACUCUAGGGUCUAUAGCAGGGGUACUCAAUUAGAAAAUCAAAAGGUCCACUCACCAAUUUCCAAUCUGUCCAGGGUCCGGAACAGUGACGAUGUAAUUCAAAAAUAAGAACUAAAAAAAAAAAGGCAAUAAAUCCACGAAGAAUAUUUGAACUAUGCACAAAGGAUGAUCUGUCCACAUCAGUGUGAAAAGUGACGCCUUUUUUGUGCCACCAGUUCUUUAAACUUGGGCACAAAAGGUGUGAGGGCCAGGCGUAGACACUGGUGUAAGUGUUCAUUAGUAAGUGUAGUCCUGUAUUUGUUCUUCACCAUAGUCAUUGGAACAUGGUGAGAAUGUUCAUUCUUGCAAGACGGGGACACCUGCUGCAGGGACCAUCUUCGUCCAAAAGGUGGCUGGGUCACAAAGAGAUUCCUGCAGUGCAAGGUUUUCCUGAAGCUCAAUCAGCUCUGAUUGAAAAGAAGCAGCACUAGCCCAUGGGCAGACCUUCAGGGCUUCAAUUGAGAAUUCUGUUAUAUUUUUCAACAGGAAUGGAUUUUCAAUGCACAGUAAUGGUGCGUUUUAAUAUCCAUCCGUCUCGGAGCUCCGAGGACGUUGCCUAGCGACAUGCACAAACACGCCCCUUUUCCUCGGAAGUCGAACUCGCCAUCUCGUUUGAACUCAGCGGUGACCGAGCGAGGCUUCCGAGAUAGAAUUGAAGAUGGAUGCGCCCAGUGUGACAUUGUUUGUUGAUCAGAGCAACAUGCUGAUGUACUGGGAGCAGGAGAGGACCCGUCCCUUUCCUGGGCCCUUGUUUCAAAAACAAGAUAACCCAGGCACAUACUACUUGGACCAGGGGCUCAGGCAUUCCGUUAGCUUGGUGUGCAUUCAAAGCACAGCUCCCGCCCCUCUGCCUGCCACUGACCCACUGCCUUCAAAUGCCCCACUGCCCACUGUCACCGAGACUUUCCUGAAAGACCACACCCUAUACCUAAUUGACCUCAUGCGGCUGCAAUUAGAGGCAGAGGGUAGGGGCCCUCCCAGGUCCCUCCAGGACCUGAGCCAGCGCCUGAAGCUGGUCAGGAACUCGAAGAAGCUGCUGUGGGAGGAGAUUGCUGGCAAGCUGACCGACGAUUUUAAAUGUACCUUUUCCCCAGACAAGGUAGCUCGUAAGUGGAACACGUUAGUGGAGGCAUAUAAAAAAGUAAAGGACCACAAUUCGUCCACAGGGAGGGGUCCUGGUAAAUUUCAGUUUUUUCCGAGAUGGAUGACCUCAUGGGAGGUCACCAUGACAUAGUCUUCCCUGUUGUGGGAACAGCCAUGGGCCUGGAUGUGCGCAGGCCAGGUGCCCUGCAGGCCCUGCAGGUCAGUGUGUCUGCACCAGAUGCCUCACCUUCCUCGUCCACCAGUGCCGUCGCUCCAGCUCAAUCUGGAACUCCAUCACCUCCUCCGUCAUCCCGCGGUGCUCCUCGCACAGCUACCACCAUGCCCCCUGCUAACACCCCAAGGAGGCCACGCAAGCGCCAGAGGGAGGAGGACCUGUUGACGUUCCUUAGGGAGUCUGAGGCAGCCUCCCAAGCGGCCGCCCAAAAACGGCACGCUGAGACCCUUGCCCAAAUGAAGGAAGCCCAGGAGGGGCUCCAGAGUUUGCUUGGCCAGAUGGUGGCGAAGAUGUAAAAUAGAUGUCAAAUAAUUGUUUAUUUUUCAUUGGAAAAUGUUAAUGUGUUAAUGUAUUUUGGUUAAUGUUCAAAUUUUUUAUAGAUAUUAUAUGUUUUAUUUUAUAUUAUAUGUAAUUUGAUAUAUUUUAUUUUAACUUUUCCCUGUUAUGUUGUUUGUCCGUGGGCCCUGUUUUGUUGUUUGUCCUUGGCCCGGAGGAUAGAAGAGGAAAAAUGCACACUUCUGUGCAAUAGCAAUUGUUUAAUAAAAUCUAUUUUGAAAAAAAAAACACUGGCCUGUGAAGCAUUAAAUUUAACACUUUGUAUUACAACGCC
ensembl:lncRNA